CGCGAAACCAGGCGAGCUACUACAGAACAUAUGUUAGUAUAGAAUAUGUUGCAUAAUGAAGUAGAUUGAGUAGUAGGGGUGAAAGGCUAUCAAGUCUGGUGAUAUCUCGUAAACCUUGAAAUGUAUUAAGUACAAUGUCAAAUUACUAGUGAUAAGGCUGGUGAAAAAUAUUUAAUUUGAUAUCAUUCUACAUAUGCAGUUUAAUCGCUAAUAUCCCAUAAGCCAAAUAUAUAUAUCGGAAACACAAUAGACAAUAAAGGUUAAUACUAAAUUAUCAUGUGUGUAUAUACUGUGUGUAUGAGUAAUUAAGGUAUCACUGAUGAACUCGGCAAUAUUUCUUUCACCUGUUUAUCAAAAACAUCGCCAGUAGGAAAUAGUAUUGGUAAUUUCUGCUCAAUGUGUUAUAAAUAGCCGCAGUACCUUGACUGUGCAAAGGUAGCGUAAUCAUUUGGCUUAUAAUUGAAGUCUAGUAUGAAUGAACCCAUGGGGGAAAGCUCUAUUGGUGAUACACCAUAAAUUUACCGAGGGGGUGCAAAUGCCCCCAACUAAAUAAUAGACGAGAAGACCCUAGAAAUUUGCAGUACGUGUCUCGGUAACUUUUUGUUGGGGCAACAGUGUAGCAUUUAACCUACAGUGAUUACACGACAUGUAUUAAUAAGAAUAAAUUACUCUAGGGAUAACAGCGUAAUUUAAUAGAGUUUGCGACCUCGAUGUUGGACUAGGAAGCAGUCGCUUAGAA
rnacentral:rRNA from 1 species